AUGGCAUCACCAGAAACCAAGAAGAUGGUAAGGCCUGGAGGUGGCAGAGCUGAAGAGAGUACAUGACCCAGCAGAAGAAAUAAGCACAAAUACAAAUGGUGACAGAAAAAUAAGAUGUGUCACAAUUGACUUAGAUUCCAACAACCACAACAGCACAGAGGAGGAAGCGAGGUGGUGCUCCCUGGAAUGACCCAAACACAACAAUAUCUGAGCUUGCUCUUGAAGGACUAGCAGUUUACCAAGCAAAAUGGAAAACAGAAAUUGAGUCCAGGUCUAGAUAUCAAGAAGCACAAAGAGAUCCAGAAAAGACCAUGGAGAAUUCAAAGACCAGCAACAGGCUUCAAAAGCCUUCUAUGAAUAGGGCAUGCAUGGACCCUUCUCCUCUCACCCCCCAGCACAUAUGAAGGGGGAUGGACAGUGUUGGAACAAGAUGGUCUUGGAUUCAGAAAUAAAAGGAGUCAGAAGCUGAAGACCUAAGGGUAACACAAGACUUCCGGGUUCUGAAAGCAGUGCAGCUUGGAAUUUUCAGAAAGUGAAUUGACUUCCUGUAGCUGAUUCUUUUUUAUUUUAGGAAAAUAAAAAUUAUUACUUUUUGUUUAAAUGACAAAA
rnacentral:lncRNA from 1 species